ACUCAAUAGAUACCCGGGUAGUCCACGCCCUAAACGAUGUCUACUAGUUGUUGGUGGAGUAAAAUCCAUGAGUAAACGCAGCUAAACGCGUGAAGUAGACCGCCUGGGGAGUACGGUCGCAAGAUUAAAACUCAAAGGAAUUGACGGGGCCCGCACAAGCGGUGGAUUAUGUGGAUUAAAUUCGAUGCAACGCGAAAAACCUUAACCUGGCCUUGACAUGCCACUAACGAAGCAGAGAUGCAUUAGGUGCCCGUAACGGGAAAGUGGACACAGGUGCUGCAUGGCUGUCGUCAGCUCGUGUCGUGAGAUGUUGGGUUAAGUCCCGCAACGAGCGCAACCCUUGCCAUUAAUUGCCAUCA
rnacentral:rRNA from 1 species